AUGAGGAGUACUAGAAAAAUAUAAAAUGAUUUUUUAUUUGGCUGUUGAUAUUAUUUUUUAAAUAUAUGUCCCAUAUCAGAUUCCAUUGUGAACAGAUCAGUAUCCCGAAGUGAUGUUGCACAAAAGAACAACACGUCAUACAACACACACAGCUGUCAUAUGAACCACUGGGGCCCUUGAAGAGUUAAAGAGACGGCUCCCCCACUCAGCGUCUCAGCACCCACUCUGUUCCCUCCGACCAUUUCGCCAAACUUCUCCCUCCAUCCACCUACCUAACCAGUCUUCCUCCCUUUCUAUCAAUCCUCACCCAUCCUUCCCAUAUCCCCUCAUCCCUCAACCCCUUCUCCUCAUCCCUCGACCCUUACCCCUUCAUCCCUUCAUCCUUUCAUCCCCUCCACCCGUUAACCUUUUUCCUCCCACAGCAUUCCACAUUCAUUCAUAAAUGUGUAAUAAACUUUUCUUAAUCCAUAAA